UACGUAGGCAGCAAGCGUUGUUCGGAGUUACUGGGCGUAAAGAGUGUGUAGGCGGUGCUCUAAGUUUGGUGUGAAAUCUCCCGGCUCAACUGGGAGGGUGCGCCGAAGACUGGAGUGCUUGAGUAUGGGAGAGGAAAGCGGAAUUCCUGGUGUAGCGGUGAAAUGCGUAGAUAUCAGGAGGAACACCAGUGGCGAAGGCGGUUGCCUGGGGCUUUGCUGACGCUGAGGCGCGAAAGCGUGGGGAGCAAACAGG
rnacentral:rRNA from 1 species